rnacentral:rRNA from 1 species
CAUAGCCGAGUUGAGAGACUGAUGGCCACAUUGGGACUGAGACACGGUCCCAAACUCCUACGGGAGGCAGCAGUAGGGAAUCUUCCACAAUGGACGCAAGUCUGAUGGAGCAACGCCGCGUGAGUGAAGAAGGGUUUCGGCUCGUAAAGCUCUGUUGGUAGUGAAGAAAGAUAGAGGUAGUAACUGGCCUUUAUUUGACGGUAAUUACUUAGAAAGUCACGGCUAACUACGUGCCAGCAGCCGCGGUAAU